rnacentral:rRNA from 1 species
CCUACGGGGGGCAGCAGUGGGGAAUAUUGGUCAAUGGGCGGAACCCUGAACCAGCGACGCCGCGUGAGUGAAGAAGUAUCUCGGUAUGUUAAGCCUCUUUUGCAGGGAAGCAAGAAAUGACGGUACUUGACUAAGAAGCCCCGGCUAACUACGAGCCAGCAGCCGCGGCAAUACGUAGGGGGCAAGCGUUAUCCGGAUUUACUGGGUGUAAAGGGAGCGUAGACGGCGAUGCAAGUCUGAAGUGAAAGGCGGGGGCCCCACCCCCGGACUGCUUUGGAAACUGUCUGGCUGGAGUGCAGGAGAGGUAUGUGGAAUUCGUGGUGUAGCGGUGAAAUGCAUAGAUAUUAGGAAGAACCCCGAUGGCGAAGGCAGCUUGCUGGCCUCUAACUGACGUUGAGGCUCGAAAGCGUGGGGAGCGAACAGGAUUAGAUACCCGAGUAGUC